rnacentral:rRNA from 1 species
GACGAACGCUGGCGGCGUGCUUAACACAUGCAAGUCGAACGGAAAGGCCCUGCUUUUGUGGGGUGCUCGAGUGGCGAACGGGUGAGUAACACGUGAGUAACCUGCCCUUGACUUUGGGAUAACUUCAGGAACCUGGGGCUAAUACCGGAUAGGAGCUCCUGCUGCAUGGUGGGGGUUGGAAAGUUUCGGCGGUUGGGGAUGGACUCGCGGCUUAUGAGCUUGUUGGUGGGGUAGUGGCUUACCAAGGCUUUGACGGGUAGCCGGCCUGAGAGGGUGACCGGCCACAUUGGUACUGAGAUACGGCCCAGACUCCUACGGGAGGCAGCAGUGGGGAAUAUUGCACAAUGGGCGGAGGCCUGAUGCAGCAACGCCGCGGGCGGGAUGACGGCCUUCGGGUUGUAGACCGCUUUCGCCUGUGACGAAGCGUGAGUGACGGUAAUGGGUAAAGAAGCACCGGCUAACUACGUG